rnacentral:rRNA from 1 species
GACGAACGCUGGCGGCGUGCCUAAUACAUGCAAGUCGAACGCAUUUUCUUUCACCGUAGCUUGCUACACCGAAAGAAAAUGAGUGGCGAACGGGUGAGUAACACGUGGGCAACCUGCCCAUCAGCGGGGGAUAACACUUGGAAACAGGUGCUAAUACCGCAUAAUUCCAUUUACCGCAUGGUAGAGGGAUGAAAGGCGCUUUUGCGUCACUGAUGGAUGGACCCGCGGUGCAUUAGCUAGUUGGUGGGGUAACGGCCUACCAAGGCUGCGAUGCAUAGCCGACCUGAGAGGGUGAUCGGCCACACUGGGACUGAGACACGGCCCAGACUCCUACGGGAGGCAGCAGUAGGGAAUCUUCGGCAAUGGACGCAAGGCUGACCGAGCAACGCCGCGUGAGUGAAGAAGGUUUUCGGAUCGUAAAACUCUGUUGUUAGAGAAGAACAAGGAUGAGAGUGGAAAGUUCAUCCCUUGACGGUAUCUAACCAGAAAGCCACGGCUAACUACGUG